AUACGGAGGGUGCAAGCGUUGUUCGGAAUUACUGGGCGUAAAGCGCGCGUAGGCGGUCUGUGAUGUCAGAUGUGAAAGUCCUCGGCUCAACCGGGGAAGUGCAUUUGAAACUGGCAGACUUGAGUACUGGAGGGGGGGGUGGAAUUCCCGGUGUAGAGGUGAAAUUCGUAGAUAUCGGGAGGAAUACCGGUGGCGAAGGCGACCACCUGGCCCGAUACUGACGCUGAGGUGCGAAAGCGUGGGGAGCAAACAGGAUUAGAAACCCUAGUAGUCC
rnacentral:rRNA from 1 species